AAUAGAAUGCCUGAAAAAAGGGUUAUUUUGAUAGAAUAAAUCAUACAAUUUAAAUUGUUUCUAUUU
rnacentral:tRNA from 1 species